UUCGUGGCGCGGGCCAAACUGCAAGUCGAGCGAACAGAUAAGGAGCUUGCUCCUUUGACGUUAGCGGCGGACGGGUGAGUAACACGUGGGUAACCUACCUAUAAGACUGGGAUAACUUCGGGAAACCGGAGCUAAUACCGGAUAAUAUUUCGAACCGCAUGGUUCGAUAGUGAAAGAUGGUUUUGCUAUCACUUAUAGAUGGACCCGCGCCGUAUUAGCUAGUUGGUAAGGUAACGGCUUACCAAGGCGACGAUACGUAGCCGACCUGAGAGGGUGAUCGGCCACACUGGAACUGAGACACGGUCCAGACUCCUACGGGAGGCAGCAGUAGGGAAUCUUCCGCAAUGGGCGAAAGCCUGACGGAGCAACGCCGCGUGAGUGAUGAAGGUCUUCGGAUCGUAAAACUCUGUUAUUAGGGAAGAACAUACGUGUAAGUAACUGUGCACGUCUUGACGGUACCUAAUCAGAAAGCCACGGCUAACUACGUGCCAGCAGCCGCGGUAAUACGUAGGUGGCAAGCGUUAUCCGGAAUUAUUGGGCGUAAAGCGCGCGUAGGCGGUUUUUUAAGUCUGAUGUGAAAGCCCACGGCUCAACCGUGGAGGGUCAUUGGAAACUGGAAAACUUGAGUGCAGAAGAGGAAAGUGGAAUUCCAUGUGUAGCGGUGAAAUGCGCAGAGAUAUGGAGGAACACCAGUGGCGAAGGCGACUUUCUGGUCUGUAACUGACGCUGAUGUGCGAAAGCGUGGGGAUCAAACAGGAUUAGAUACCCUGGUAGUCCACGCCGUAAACGAUGAGUGCUAAGUGUUAGGGGGUUUCCGCCCCUUAGUGCUGCAGCUAACGCAUUAAGCACUCCGCCUGGGGAGUACGACCGCAAGGUUGAAACUCAAAGGAAUUGACGGGGACCCGCACAAGCGGUGGAGCAUGUGGUUUAAUUCGAAGCAACGCGAAGAACCUUACCAAAUCUUGACAUCCUUUGACAACUCUAGAGAUAGAGCUUUCCCCUUCGGGGGACAAAGUGACAGGUGGUGCAUGGUUGUCGUCAGCUCGUGUCGUGAGAUGUUGGGUUAAGUCCCGCAACGAGCGCAACCCUUAAGCUUAGUUGCCAUCAUUAAGUUGGGCACUCUAAGUUGACUGCCGGUGACAAACCGGAGGAAGGUGGGGAUGACGUCAAAUCAUCAUGCCCCUUAUGAUUUGGGCUACACACGUGCUACAAUGGACAAUACAAAGGGCAGCGAAACCGCGAGGUCAAGCAAAUCCCAUAAAGUUGUUCUCAGUUCGGAUUGUAGUCUGCAACUCGACUACAUGAAGCUGGAAUCGCUAGUAAUCGUAGAUCAGCAUGCUACGGUGAAUACGUUCCCGGGUCUUGUACACACCGCCCGUCACACCACGAGAGUUUGUAACACCCGAAGCCGGUGGAGUAACCAUUGGAGCUAGCCGUCGAAAGGG
rnacentral:rRNA from 1 species